UAUGCUUAGCGCCCCCCCUCUCUCUCCACGUCAGAUACUCUUUAAUAUGUGAAAUUCAACUCAUCUUCCCUUCUUCAAUAUAUUCCUGAAAUCGAUACCACAUUCUCUCCAUGGAUUCCCUUUCGUUUUCUCAAUCAGGGCAAUUCUUCCAAAUCAAUUUCACCUUCUCUUCUUCAAUUCUCAAUAUCAGAAUCAUUUUCCUCCAUUUAUGAAAUUCGUCCAAAUAAAUAUCACCUUCUCUUCUUCAAUUCUCUUUCGUUUUUCUCAAUAUGUGAAAUUCAUCCAAAUCAAUAUUACCUUUUCUUCUUCAAUUCUUUUUCAUUUUUCUCAAUAUGUGAAAUUCAUCCAAAUCAAUUUCAACUUCUCUUCAUCAAUUCCCUUUUGUUUUUAUCAAUCUGUGAAAUUUAUCCGAAUCAGUUUCAACUUCUCUUCUUCAGUUCUCAAAAUCACAAGCUCAGUGCUGAGGCAAAUUGGAAGAGCCACCUACGCCUCGAACAAUCUAUCCGUCGAGGGACGAAAAUUGAUGCAGUCUGGUACCAAAAUGUGGCUAAGUGCAUCAUGAUUACUGCAUUUCAUGAUAGCACUUGUAAUAUAAAUGUGGGGGUCAGUGAUCAAGAGAGCCACACAUAAACAAGGCUGGGUGCGUGUGAUAAGCCAGACGCGGUGAGAUACACGUGCAACCGAGUGCAUGUGUGAAUGCAUCCGGAGUUAGUUAUAACUGCUCGUGGAUUGAAAGGGGUUUCAUAUACUCAGCUCCAGCUCACUUAAUCACACACGAAUCACCAUCAUUUUGUAACAGAAGUAGGAAGUAGGAGAGUGAAGAAGAGUGAGGUAGUGAGUUCUUGCGAUUCAAUCUUGUGAGUAGAUUGUAGAGAGCUUGAGUGAUUUCUUUCUUGUUCCAAAUCUGUAUAAAGAGAGUGUGAGAUCAAUACAUCCAUAACUGAGUCUUCCCGUGGACGUAGACGUUUUGUCGAACCACGUAAAAAUCUGGUGUGUUGUUAUUUUUUCU